CAGACCUCCAGUGCUCCUCCACGGCCCAGGAUAUCCUGCACCAGUUCUAUGCACUAUGUCGCCAGUGCGCCUGCACAGCCCAGUUCGUCCUGUGCCAGCGCUCUGCCCUUGCCGGGCUAAAGUAAGCGUUCAGCCAGGACGGGUUGUGCCAGCCAUACGCUCCAGACCUCCAGUGCGCCUCCACGGCCCAGUAUAUCCAGCGCCAGUUCUACGCACUGUGUCGCCAGUGCACCUGCACAGCCCAGUUCGUCCUGUGCCAGCGCUUCGCCCUUGCCGGGCUAAAGUAAGCGUACAGCCAGGACGGGUUGUGCUAGCCCUAAGCUCCAGACCUCCAGUGCGCCUCCACGGCCCAGUAUACCCUGUGCCUGCUCUGUGCACCCAGUCUCUAGUGCGUCUCCCCAGUCCGGUGAGACCUGUUCCGGCUCCACGUAAGAAGCCUCCAGUGAUGAUCCAUGGUCCGAAGCCUCCAGUGAUGAUCCAUGGCACGAAGCCUCCAGUGAUGAUCCAUGGCACGAAGCCUCCAGUGAUGAUCCAUGGCCCGGAGCCUGUAGGGAUAAUCCAUGGCCCGCAGCCUGUAGGGAUGAUCCAUGGCACAAAGCCUCCAGUGAUAAUCCAUGGCCCGGAGUCUCAAGUGAUAAUCCAUGGCAAGAAACCUGUAGGGAUGAUCCAUGGCCCGGAGCCUGUAGUGAUGAUCCAUGGCAUGGAGCCUGUAGCGACGGUCCCCAGUCCGGAACCUCCUGAGACAGACUACAGUCCGGAAUCUCCUGAGACAGCCUGCAGCCCAGAGUCUUCAGCGGCGGCCUGCAGCCCAGAGUCUUCAGCGGCGGCCUGCAGCCCAGAGUCUUCAGCGGCGGCCUGCAGUCCAGAGUCUUCAGCGGCGGUCGGCAGUUCAGAGCCUCCGGCGAUGAUCCUCACUCUGGUUCCUCCGGCGACACAGAAGCGGGGGGAUCAGCGGGCGGAGUGGGGGCUACGCCCCGAACCAGAGCCACCGCCAAGAAUAGAUGCCCACCCGGACCCUCCCCUAUAAGUUCAGGUUUGCGGCUGGGAGUCCGCACCUUUGGGGGGGUACUGUCACGC
rnacentral:lncRNA from 1 species